GGGGAUAUGGCGGAAUUGGUAGACGCUACGGACUUGAAAAUCCGUUGGCUUUAUUGACCGUGAGGGUUCAAGUCCCUCUACCCCCA
rnacentral:tRNA from 20 species